UACGUAGGUGGCAAGCGUUGUCCGGAUUUACUGGGCGUAAAGCGCGCGCAGGUGGUUCCCUAAGCCCGGCGUGAAAGCCCCCGGCUCAACCGGGGAGGGUCGUCGGGGACUGGUGAACUUGAGGGCGGCAGGGGCUGGUGGAAUCCCCGGUGUAGUGGUGAAAUGCGUAGAGAUCGGGGGGAACACCCGUGGCGAAGGCGGCCAGCUGGGCCGACCCUGACACUGAGGCGCGAAGGCGUGGGGAGCGAACAGG
rnacentral:rRNA from 1 species